AGACCAUAAUGUGGGCACCUUCUUUGUAGCUCAUUGAAUUUCUCCCAAGCUUUAUAAAGAGAUUCAUCUUCCUUUUAGUAUAAACUAGCUAUUUAUUAAUGAAUUU
rfam:Ricinus communis cultivar Hale ctg_1100012361207, whole genome shotgun sequence.